rnacentral:rRNA from 1 species
AGUGAACGCUGGCGGUAGGCCUAACACAUGCCAGUCGAACGGCAGCACAGUAAGAGCUUGCUCUUACGGGUGGCGAGUGGCGGACGGGUGAGGAAUACAUCGGAAUCUACUUUUUCGUGGGGGAUAACGUAGGGAAACUUACGCUAAUACCGCAUACGACCUACGGGGGAAAGCAGGGGAUCUUCGGACCUUGCGCGAUUGAAUGAGCCGAUGUCGGAUUAGCUAGUUGGCGGGGUAAAGGCCCACCAAGGCGCCGAUCCGUAGCUGGUCUGAGAGGAUGAUCAGCCACACUGGAACUGAGACACGGUCCAGACUCCUACGGGAGGCAGCAGUGGGGAAUAUUGGACAAUGGGCGCAAGCCUGAUCCAGCCAUACCGCGUGGGUGAAGAAGGCCUUCGGGUUGUAAAGCCCUUUUGUUGGGAAAGAAAAGCAGCAGGUUAAUACCCCGCUGUUCUGACGGUACCCAAAGAAUAAGCACCGGCUAACUUCGUG